rnacentral:rRNA from 1 species
UACGUAGGGUGCGAGCGUUGUCCGGAAUUACUGGGCGUAAAGAGCUCGUAGGUGGUUUGUCGCGUUGUUCGUGAAAACUCACAGCUUAACUGUGGGCGUGCGGGCGAUACGGGCAGACUGGAGUACUGCAGGGGAGACUGGAAUUCCUGGUGUAGCGGUGAAAUGCGUAGAUAUCUGGAGGAAUACCGGUGGCGAAGGCGGCAUCCUGGACCGGCAUUGACGCUGAGGAGCGAAAGCUAGGGGAGCAAACGGG